GCGACGACUUUUUGCAUGGGAUCUAGGCAUUUCUGGGUUGAGAUGCCUUUAUGGCAUUCAAAGAUCUCUCUUAGCUUCGAAACGCACUCUGAAUCACUCGAUUUCGAGCUCGAGAGCUCAAGUUAUGACUGUUUUAAUAAAGAUUGCGUAAGCAAAAUUUCUGGACUUGAUUAUGACGGGAAUUACGAGUUUCGGACUUUUAAUUCGAGUUUAAAUCAUAUUGGGUUCAAGUUUUGGGCUUAAUUUUUAUUAUAUAUGAGC
rnacentral:lncRNA from 1 species